rnacentral:lncRNA from 1 species
CCCAGCCCUGGCUGCACGCGGGCAGAGAGAGAGAUUGAGCCCCGGCUCCGCCAGCCCAGCUCGGGCCCUGUCCCUCUACCCUUUCCCCAAGCCGCCCGAAGUGACAGGAGGGGCACGCACGGCGCGCGCGGGGCGUCCAGCGUUAACCGCUUCGGCGCCGGGGACGGGAGCGACAGGAGGGCUGGGGAGCAGGGGACCGAGUGCUGGGACUCACCGGAAUGUGCACGCGCAGCGAACGCCUCUUCUGGCUGGCAUUUUUCUUGCCGCCGCUCCCGCCGGGGCUGGAAACAUCUUUUUUCUUCUUGGUGUCCAUAACCGCGCUUCCCAUAACUCUAACCAGAAGUUGAUUCUGCGAAACUCCUCGGGGGUUCGGUCCCCUCCUUCCCUCCCCCGGCCGCUGCCUUCGGACUGGAGCCGCGCGCUCUGUUACACCCUGAAGCCACCUCGUGGGGACUUCCGCGGAGAGGGAGGGUGAGCAGGGAACUCGCGCGGCCGCCGCCGCCGCCGAAGCGCCGAAUUCAAGCGUCCUUUCCUACGGAACCCUCGUAGGCAAAUCAGUCAAAGCCCGUCCCGGUUCUGGUGUCUCCCCGGGUUACUCGUGGCUGAGGUCUCCCGCUGGGUGACAAAGUUUUCUUCCUUUUGCAAAGCUAAGAAACAUUUUCCACCCUCUCGGCUCCUCCCACAGAUUCCCAGAGGUAAUCUGAAAGGCAGGUGCAAUUAAAACCAGCAAUUUGGAAAACAAGCCUCCUAUGCCUGUGCCCAAGUGGGGAAUCUGGAACCAGUAAGCCCGUUCGUGCAUAAAUGUAAUCCUCGGCCGCAGAAUAAACCAGCUCGGAGCCUGCAGCUGGGUCCGUCCUCCUUUCUGGGCGAGAGGGAGGGCGGCGGGGGAAGAGGAGGUGCAAGGCGAGCCCUCUGCGCAAUUAGGCUACGGGCGGCCGCUGGCAGAAGUUCUGGCGGCGGCGCUCGCGGCCCUGCGCGCCGGAGGGGGCGCCCGGAGUCCAGCGGGCCAAGAAGGGCAGGGCGCCCGCUCCUCGCCCCCCGCCGCGCCGCGGCCCCAGGGGACCGCAAGGGGACAGUGAGGGGCCGGGCCUGGCACCGACGCAAGCUCGGGGAGCGCGGGUGGUGGGAGGCGGCGCGUGUUGAACAGGAAGUGCGCGGCGUGCAGCGCCACCGUCCCGCUCCCCGUCGCCCCACGCCGCCCUCGUCGCCGCGCCCAGACCCCUGCGGCGGCCGCAGCCGCUUGGGACUCGCUGCGAGCUGGUUUCGGAUCCAUCCCGCCUCCCGGCGUCUCACUGUGUGCCCUACCCUUUGAAACACGCCCCCGCGCCCGCCCUGCCGUAGACCAGGCAGCGAGGAAGCCCACAGUCUCCGGGGGCGCUGCGCGCGAAGUAGCACGUGCUUCUCGAAACACCGCAGCCCCCGGGUCCCGCCCCGCCCGGCGCGCGCACUCGAACCCGCCCAGAGAGCGGUGCGUGGCGCUGGGUGCGAGCAGGGUCUAGCCACCCCCACCCUCACCCCACCCCACCCCACCCUGCUUUUUUCAGGUUCAUCAAGGUUUGCGCAGUGGAUCCGCGAAUGAAGCCAGCCUGGAAGAUCCCCAGUCUCGAGACAGAGCCUGACAGGGGCAGAUGCACUGGAAGGACCCUGUCUGGGUUUAGCAACCAAGCAGCCAUCCUGGCCCCACAGGUGUGGGACUUCUGGGUCUUCUCCUGGCUGGCUUCUUGCUAGAGGAUUUCAAGAGACCCAGCAAGACUGUAUUGUCCCACUGAAUGCUCAAGAUAUUGGUUAGAAGUAGAAAAGGGGAGGGGGUAGUAUUUAGCCUCUGUCCCCACUAAAAAUUAUUCCCAAUUGUCAUUUGUGUCAUCUGUUUAGCUUACAGUUUUAAUCCUUGUCAAAAUGAUCAUUUGCCAGGGUGCAUAAAACACCCUAUUUGAUGAGAACUGGUUUUAAAGGAAAAUGGGGCCAUCAGAAGGAAGCCGGUUGGUGUGAAGAGACGUCUGGGAAGAGCCCCUGGCGAGGGCCCUCAUUCCACUGGGUGACCCAGAAGGAGAAAACCGCGAUGGCGCUUCUCAUUUGAAAUGUUUUCUUUAUGGACAGUGUUUAGCAAUUGUUAUAAUGUGUACUUUUGUUGAUUGAUCUGUAUACAUAUGUAAAAUAAUUUGUUCUCUGAGUUAAUUUUGUUGGAACAAAG